rnacentral:misc_RNA from 1 species
CCAAUAGCGUAUAUUAAAGUUGUUGCAGUUAAAAAGCUCGUAGUUGAAUUUCGAGAUCAAUUUGUUGGUCGUGCCUCGGUACGUACUGGCAAUUUUGAUUUCUCCCUUCUGAAGAACCAUGAUGUCAUUAAUUUGGUGUCAUGGGGAAUCAGGACCGUUACUUUGAAAAAAUUAGAGUGUUUAAAGCAGGCUCGCGCUUGAAUACAUUAGCAUGGAAUAAUGAAAUAGGACGUUUGAUUCUAUUUUGUUGGUUUCUAGGAUCGACGUAAUGAUUAAUAGGGAUAGUUGGGGGCAUUAGUAUUCAAUUGUCAGAGGUGAAAUUCUUGGAUUUAUUGAAGACUAACUACUGCGAAAGCAUUUGCCAAGGAUGUUUUCAUUAAUCAAGAACGAAAGUUAGGGGAUCGAAGACGAUCAGAUACCGUCGUAGUCUUAACCAUAAACUAUGCCGACUAGGGAUCGGAUGAUGUUAAUUUUUUAAUGACUCAUUCGGCGCCUUACGGGAAACAAAGUGUUUGGGUUC